UUUUUUUUGCGAGGGAAAACUAAGUGCCUGUUUGGAGUCCCUCCGCUCCACAACUCUACUCCGGAGCGGAGCGGGCUGUAGUUCAAAUUUACAGAGCGGGGAAAUAGGUGCUCCACAUAUUCUGGAUAUUUCGUGGAGCUGGUGGAUUACCAAACAUGCCCUAACUGACUAAACAUUACGACAAAUAUCACGCACGCCAAUAUGUGUUGGGGGUAUGCCACAAAUUCACAUUAAAAACAAAAUAUAAUUUCAUUAUUUCACGAGAGGAAAUCAUGUAAAACAAAUAGUUUAAUAAAGUGCAUCAUUGCAAACAUUGUUUGGUACCAAAUUAUUGAAGAUUUGCUUAAUUCGAGGCCAUCAUUUCUUCACCAGCGAUAGUAGAAGGACCGGGAGCUGCAAACAUAAAAUCGAGUAUUUAAAGACUAAGUCAAUUGUUCAUAUGAAUUUUUACAAAAGAAGAGCAUAAUAUUACCAUUAUCGUGAAUGCAAGAGGUUGUAACCCUUUGCGUUUCCUCAUUUUUUUGAUAGCACCAAAUAAUCUUAAUAUCCUCAAUCCUGGAAAAAAGAUUUAAUUGAACGGUUCCUCAUCAUCUUGGAUUUCUAAUCUCCUGAUGACCAUGAAAUAAAACUGACUAAGUAAUACAAUUUAACAGCAUCAAUUCACUGAGUUUGCCUAAUAUGAAGGAACUAGGGAAAGAAUUGGAUGAUACAGUGUACAUAUUACCUGUGCGGCAGUGUGUGUGCACUGUAAUUUCAAUAUUUGGAGAAGAUCAGAAGGAGAGGCAGGUGGCAAGGACGCCGGAUCCGGCGGCCGGCGUGGCGGGGAAUCGCGAGUUGAUAACUGACGAAGGUGGCGGCGCAGGCGCGCAGCGCAGUCGAGCGAGGCGGGGGUUUCUCUGUUGCCGAUCGGAGAGGGAUUUUCUUUUUCUUGACGAAUGAGCGACAGAUCGAAUGGUCAACUUGCAGUCCGCGAUUGGUUUUCUGCUCCGAUCGAUGGACUGGAGUGGGGCUAAUGGGCUGAAGCCUUGUACGUGUACGUGAGGCCGAUGUGAAGCCUGGGGCUGGGCUUCUAUGUAUAACAAAUUCUCAAAUAUCGGCAACUAUGUGUUUAGGUGCUAGUUGGGCCACACCUGGGGCUACAGCCCCAGUUGCCCCAGGCCCAAUUUCGCCCCUGGGCUCCGGUGCGCCUAGGCCACGCCUGUGGUGUCGGAGGACAGUGGGGUGGUGGCGUGGGAGGAUCCAGGGACGGCGGCGGAUGUAUCGCAGGGCACGGCGACAUAGAGGUUGAAGCAGGGAGAUGCGGCAACCGCGGUAGAAGCAAGGGGAAGGAAGGUACCUUUGGUGGGGGAUCCUAGUCGGCAGCGGGGCGCUUCACCGGGGGUCGAAGUCGUGCUCGGGAAUGGAGGAGGGAACGAGAACAAGGAGACUGUUAUUGACAUGCCACGCUCGAGGAAGAAGGAGCCCGCCGGAGCAGCAUCGCUCCCACACGUGAGCAUCCAUCUGAUCCAGCGGGUCGCGGCUGUUGAAGGCGGCUGGAAACAGCCGUGCUCAAAGAAGAAAGAGCUUGCUGAAGCCUUGUACGUGUACGUGAGGCCGAUGUGAAGCCUGGGGCUGGGCUUCUAUGUAUAACAAAUUCUCAAAUAUUGGCAACUAUGUGUUUAGGUGCUAGUUGGGCCACGCCUGGGGCUACAGCCCCAGUUGCCCCAGGCCCAAUUUCGCCCCUGGGCUCCGGUGCGCCUAGGCCACGCCUGUGGUGUCGGAGGACAGUGGGGUGGUGGGCGUGGGAGGAUCCAGGGACGGCGGCGGAUGUAUCCCAGGGCACGGCGACAUAGAGGUUGAAGCAGGGAGAUGCGGCAACCGCGGUAGAAGCAAGGGGAAGGAAGGUACCUUUGGUGGGGGAUCCUGGUCGGCAGCGGGGCGCUUCACCGGGGCUCGUCGAAGUCGUGCUCGGGAAUGGAGGAGGGAACGAGAACAGGGAGACUGUUAUUGACAUGCCACGCUCGAGGAAGAAGGAGCCCGCCGGAGCAGCAUCGCUCCCACACGUGAGCAUCCAUCUGAUCCAGCGGGUCGCGGCUGUUGAAGGCGGCUGGAAACAGCCGUGCUCAAAGAAGAAAGAGCU
rnacentral:lncRNA from 1 species